GGAUGUCGCCCAAUCGGAAUGAAGGGAGGGCGGGAUCAGUGAAAACCACGUGAUCAUCCACGAGUGCGGUGCAGAGUCGCUGAGAUAACCGGAACUGCAGAUGCUGGAGAAUCCGAGAUAACACGGUGUGCAGCUGGAUGUACACAGCAGGUCAAGCAGCAUCAGAGGAGCAGGAAAGCUGACGUUUCGGGCCUCGAUCCUUCGCUGAGACCAAAAUUUGUGCAAUUGAGAUACCAGCGAUCGUUGCCAAAGCCCUCUUACCUGUGGAGAAGGAUAUUACAAGUGGACUUUCAGGUAGGAAGCUCAAUAAUUGUAACACCAAACUCUGACAGAAUUACUCAAUUCAAUCAGGACCUGGAUAUUCGCAUUGUGUAUUUCCACAAUUUUACUUCUGCACUAUUCUUAGUCUUUCAGAGGGAUCAAAAGGUUGAGUUACAGAUCUAUACAAUGACUGUCCUUCCUCGCUGGCUCCCCCACCUCUCUCUUUUGGUAGUUUUAUGCAAACACUGACUGGAUCCCUUACCUGGAGGAUAUUUGUGAAUGAAUUUGUUCUAAUGGUGAUCCAGCAUUUUCCCCAAGUAUCGCUCCACACAUGCCCAGAGAAUUUCUCAGUUUCACAAUCUGUGUCCUUCUGGUUUCUUACUCGCUACACUUAACUUUCUGUUUGAAAGUAUAGUCUGCAGUUGGAGAAUUUAAACAGGUCCACAUCCAGGUCUGACGGUCACUUUGUUUCUCACAACCCAAUUAUCUCAGGAUUUUGAACAAUGAAGGAAAAAGCAGCACUCACAUUGGGGAGAAAUGCACAUGGUGUGUGUGUUGAAGAGCCUGUGAAGAUUCAUCUGAAAUGUCCGAACACCAGUGCAGUGACACUGGGAGAGAGUGUGGAAAUGUGCAGAUUGCAGGAAGGAAUUUCUUCAUCCAUCCCAGCUAGAAACUGACCACCAGAGUCACACUGGAGAGAGACCAUUGACCUGUUCUGCAUGAGGGAAAGGCUUUGCUGAUUCGAAUUCCCCGCUGAUACACCAGCGAGUUCACUCUGGGGAGAGACCUUUCAUGAGCUCUGAGUGUGGGAAGGGAUUCAUUGUCAGCCAAACUGUUAACACACCAGUGAGUUCACAGACAACCACAGUUGAAGAACUUUGCUGUCACUCUCACUAUCAAAUGAACCAUGGUUUUGGGCUGUUUGUACAGAUGUUACCGAUCCCUGCUCAAUUAAAGGUGCUGGUAUUGUGAAUAAAAUGUCACACUAA